rnacentral:rRNA from 1 species
UGGGGAAUAUUGUGCAAUGGGGGAAACCCUGACACAGCGACGCCGCGUGAGCGAAGAAGGCCUUCGGGUCGUAAAGCUCAAUAGUAUGGGAAGAAAUAAAUGACGGUACCAUACGAAAGCCCCGGCUAACUACGUGCCAGCAGCCGCGGUAAUACGUAGGGGGCGAGCGUUGUCCGGAAUUACUGGGCGUAAAGAGCACGUAGGCGGCUAUAAAAGUCAGAUGUGAAAAACCUGGGCUCAUCCGAGGGUGUGCAUCUGAAACUAAAUAGCUUGAGUCAAGGAGAGGAGAGCGGAAUUCCUGGUGUAGCGGUGAAAUGCGUAGAGAUCAGGAAGAAUACCAGUGGCGAAAGCGGCUCUCUGGACUUGAACUGACGCUGAGGUGCGAAAGCGUGGGGAGCAAACAGG